rnacentral:rRNA from 1 species
UACGUAGGGUGCAAGCGUUGUCCGGAAUUAUUGGGCGUAAAGAGCUCGUAGGCGGCCCUCCUAGUCGCGUGUGAAAGCCCCGGGCUCAACCUGGGAACGGCGCGCGAAACGGGGGGGCUGGAGUUCGGGAGAGGAGCGUGGAAUUCCCAGUGUAGAGGUGAAAUUCGUAGAUAUUGGGAAGAACACCGGUGGCGAAGGCGGCGCUCUGGACCGAGACUGACGCUGAGGCGCGAAAGCGUGGGGAGCAAACAGG